rnacentral:rRNA from 1 species
GGCGAUCCAGAUACCGCCCUAGUUCUGACCGUAAACGAUGCCAACUAGCGAUCCGCCGAUGGAAACACAAAUUGCCAUGGUGGGGAGCUUCCCGGAAACGAAAGUCUUCCGGUUCCGGGGGAAGUAUGGUUGCAAAGCUGAAACUUAAAGGAAUUGACGGAAGGGCACCACCAGGAGUGGAGCCUGCGGCUUAAUUUGACUCAACACGGGGAAACUCACCCGGCCCGGACACCGUAAGGAUUGACAGAUUGACAGCUUUUUCAUGAUUCGGUGGAUGGUGGUGCAUGGCCGUUCUUAGUUCGUGGAGCGAUCUGUCUGGUUUAUUCCGAUAACGAGCGAGACUCUGGCCUACUAACUAGUCCGCGCAUUGCCUCUGUGCCGUUGGACUUCUUAGAGGGAUUCGCGGUGUUCAGCCGCAAGAAAUGGAGCAAUAACAGGUCUGUGAUGCCCUUAGAUGUCCGGGGCUGCACGCGCGCUACACUGGCAGAAUCAGCUGGCUUGUCCUGCCCCGAAAGGGGCGGGUAAACCCGUGAAAAUCUGCCGUGAUUGGGAUCGGAAAUUGCAAUUAUUUUCCGUGAACGAGGAAUUCCAAGUAAGUGCGUGUCAUCAACACGCGUUGAUUACGUCCCUGCCCUUUGUA